rnacentral:lncRNA from 1 species
GAUUCAGCUGACCUGUUUUAAGCACCUAUUUCAAAGAAGAUGAAUAAGAAUUUUGGCUUUCCCAGGGUUCUCCUAUUCUGAAGGCUCCAUAUUGAGCCCAUGAACUGGAGAAUGUGUGUCUUUGGUCUGCUACGUUGAUACAUUCCUGAUAAAACUACAGCUGAAUCCUUGAGAAGAUGGAGGCAUAGGAUGUGGUGUAGAGGAAUACAGCUGGAAGCCCCA